CAGUCGCCGCGGUAAUACGAAGGGUGCAAGCGUUACUCGGAAUUACUGGGCGUAAAGCGUGUGUAGGUGGUUGUUUAAGUCCGUCGUGAAAGCCCUGGGCUCAACCUGGGAAUUGCGAUGGAUACUGGGCGACUAGAGUGCGGUAGAGGAUAGUGGAAUUUCCGGUGUAGCAGUGAAAUGCGUAGAGAUCGGAAGGAACAUCUGUGGCGAAGGCGACUAUCUGGGCCAACACUGACACUGAGACACGAAAGCGUGGGGAGCAAACAGGAUUAGAUACCCGCGUAGUCCCUGUCUCUUAUAC
rnacentral:rRNA from 1 species